AGAGGGAUAGCUGGGUCAAAUGGUGGUUUCAUUCUCAAUUUUCCAAGGAAUCUUCAUACUGCUUUCCUAAUUGACUCUACCAAUUUACAGUCCCACCAGCAGU
rnacentral:pre_miRNA from 1 species